rnacentral:rRNA from 1 species
UAAUACGUAGGGGGCAAGCGUUGUCCGGAAUUAUUGGGCGUAAAGCGCGCGCAGGCGGUUCUUUAAGUCUGGUGUCUAAGUGCGGGGCUCAACCCCGUGAUGCACUGGAAACUGGAGAACUUGAGUGCAGAAGAGGAGAGCGGAAUUCCACGUGUAGCGGUGAAAUGCGUAGAGAUGUGGAGGAACACCAGUGGCGAAGGCGGCUCUCUGGACUGUAACUGACGCUGAGGCGCGAAAGCGUGGGGAGCAAACAGGAUUAGAUACCCUGGUAGUCCACGCCGUAAACGAUGAGUGCUAGGUGUCGGGGGGGUCCACCCCUCGGUGCCGAAGUUAACACAUUAAGCACUCCGCCUGGGGAGUACGGUCGCAAGACUGAAACUCAAAGGAAUUGACGG